GGUUCGGUAGCUAAGUGGUAUAGCGUGGGAUUGCAGCUUCAAAUAGCAAGUUAUCCUAAGGUCACGUGUUCGAUCCACGUUCGGACCU